rnacentral:siRNA from 1 species
UAUCAAAUUUGGUGCCGUUGCC